rnacentral:rRNA from 1 species
CCCUUAGAUGUCCUGGGCCGCACGCGCGCUACACUGACGAAUGCAACGAGCUUAUAACCUUGGCCGAAAGGUCUGGGUAAUCUCCAAAUUUCGUCGUGAUGGGGAUAGAUUAUUGCAAUUAUUAAUCUUCAACGAGGAAUGCCUAGUAAGCGCAAGUCAUCAGCUUGCGUUGAUUACGUCCCUGCCCUUUGUACACACCGCCCGUCGCUCCUACCGAUUGAAUGGUCCGGUGAAAUCUCGGGACGGCGGCUUGGUCGCUUGCGUCCGACUGCUGAAACUUGAUUAAACCAUAUCAUUUAGAGGAAGGUGAAGUCGUAACA